rnacentral:rRNA from 1 species
CCUACGGGAGGCUGCAGUGGGGAAUAUUGGACAAUGGGGGGAACCCUGAUCCAGCCAUGCCGCGUGUGUGAAGAAGGCCCUCGGGUUGUAAAGCACUUUCUGUGAGGAAGAACGCCUGGUGGUUAAUACCCAUCAGGAAAGACAUCACUCACAGAAGAAGCACCGGCUAACUCCGUGCCAGCAGCCGCGGUAAUACGGAGGGUGCGAGCGUUAAUCGGAAUUACUGGGCGUAAAGCGCGCGUAGGUGGCUUGAUAAGCCGGUUGUGAAAGCCCCGGGCUCAACCUGGGAACGGCAUCCGGAACUGUCAAGCUAGAGUGCAGGAGAGGAAGGUAGAAUUCCCGGUGUAGCGGUGAAAUGCGUAGAGAUCGGGAGGAAUACCAGUGGCGAAGGCGGCCUUCUGGACUGACACUGACACUGAGGUGCGAAAGCGUGGGUAGCAAACAGGAUUAGAUACCCGGGUAGUC